GACGAACGCUGGCGGCGUGCCUAAUACAUGCAAGUAGAACGCUGAAGGAGGAGCUUGCUUCUCUGGAUGAGUUGCGAACGGGUGAGUAACGCGUAGGUAACCUGCCUGGUAGCGGGGGAUAACUAUUGGAAACGAUAGCUAAUACCGCAUAAGAGUAGAUGUUGCAUGACAUUUGCUUAAAAGGUGCAAUUGCAUCACUACCAGAUGGACCUGCGUUGUAUUAGCUAGUUGGUGAGGUAACGGCUCACCAAGGCAACGAUACAUAGCCGACCUGAGAGGGUGAUCGGCCACACUGGGACUGAGACACGGCCCAGACUCCUACGGGAGGCAGCAGUAGGGAAUCUUCGGCAAUGGGCGGAAGUCUGACCGAGCAACGCCGCGUGAGUGAAGAAGGUUUUCGGAUCGUAAAGCUCUGUUGUAAGAGAAGAACGAGUGUGAGAGUGGAAAGUUCACACUGG
rnacentral:rRNA from 1 species